rnacentral:rRNA from 1 species
UACGUAGGGGGCAAGCGUUGUCCGGAUUUAUUGGGCGUAAAGAGCGUGUAGGCGGCUUUACAGGUCCGUUGUGAAAACUCGAGGCUCAACCUCGAGACGCCGGUGGAAACCGUAAAGCUAGAGUCCGGAAGAGGAGAGUGGAAUUCCUGGUGUAGCGGUGAAAUGCGCAGAUAUCAGGAGGAACACCCGUGGCGAAAGCGGCUCUCUGGGACGGUACUGACGCUGAGACGCGAAAGCCAGGGGAGCGAAACGGG